rnacentral:rRNA from 1 species
UACGUAGGGUGCAAGCGUUGUCCGGAAUUAUUGGGCGUAAAGAGCUCGUAGGCGGUCUGUUGCGUCGGCUGUGAAAACCCGGGGCUCAACUCCGGGCCUGCAGCCGAUACGGGCAGACUAGAGUUCGGCAGGGGAGACUGGAAUUCCUGGUGUAGCGGUGAAAUGCGCAGAUAUCAGGAGGAACACCGGUGGCGAAGGCGGGUCUCUGGGCCGAUACUGACGUGAGGAGCGAAAGCGUGGGGGAGCGAACAGG